rnacentral:rRNA from 1 species
GGCUUAGAGUUUGAUCCUGGCUCAGAUUGAACGCUGGCGGCAUGCCUUACACAUGCAAGUCGAACGGCAGCGCGGGAGCAAUCCUGGCGGCGAGUGGCGAACGGGUGAGUAAUACAUCGGAACGUGCCCAAUCGUGGGGGAUAACGCAGCGAAAGCUGUGCUAAUACCGCAUACGAUCUACGGAUGAAAGCAGGGGAUCGCAAGACCUUGCGCGAAUGGAGCGGCCGAUGGCAGAUUAGGUAGUUGGUGAGGUAAAGGCUCACCAAGCCUUCGAUCUGUAGCUGGUCUGAGAGGACGACCAGCCACACUGGGACUGAGACACGGCCCAGACUCCUACGGGAGGCAGCAGUGGGGAAUUUUGGACAAUGGGCGAAAGCCUGAUCCAGCCAUGCCGCGUGCAGGAUGAAGGCCUUCGGGUUGUAAACUGCUUUUGUACGGAACGAAACGGCUCUUUCUAAUAAAGAGGGCUAAUG